UACGUAGGGUGCGAGCGUUAAUCGGAAUUACUGGGCGUAAAGCGUGCGCAGGCGGCGCGUUAAGACAGGUGUGAAAGCCCCCGAGCUUAACUUGGGAAUUGCGCUUGUGACUGGCGUGCUGGAGUGUGGCAGAGGGAGGUGGAAUUCCACGUGUAGCAGUGAAAUGCGUAGAGAUGUGGAGGAACACCGAUGGCGAAGGCAGCCCCCCUGGGCUGACACUGACGCUGAGGCACGAAAGCGUGGGGAGCAAACAGG
rnacentral:rRNA from 1 species